GACGCCGCGUGAGGGAUGACGGCCUUCGGGUUGUAAACCUCUUUCAGUAGGGAAGAAGCGAAAGUGACGGUACCUGCAGAAGAAGCGCCGGCUAACUACGUGCCAGCAGCCGCGGUAAUACGUAGGGUGCGAGCGUUAUCCGGAAUUAUUGGGCGUAAAGAGCUCGUAGGCGGUUUGUCGCGUCUGUCGUGAAAGUCCGGGGCUUAACCCCGGAUCUGCGGUGGGUACGGGCAGACUAGAGUGCAGUAGGGGAGACUGGAAUUCCUGGUGUAACGGUGGAAUGCGCAGAUAUCAGGAGGAACACCGAUGGCGAAAGCAGGUCUCUGGGCUGUAACUGA
rnacentral:rRNA from 1 species